GACGAACGCUGGCGGCGUGCUUAACACAUGCAAGUCGAACGGACAGACCCUGCUUUUGUGGGGUGCUCGAGUGGCGAACGGGUGAGUGACACGUGAGUAACAUGCCCUUGACUUUGGGAUAACUUCAGGAAACUGGGGCUAAUACCGGAUAGGAGCUCUUGCUGCAUGGUGGGGGUUGGAAAGUUUCGGCGGUUGGGGAUGGACUCGCGGCUUAUCAGCUUGUUGGUGAGGUAGUGGCUUACCAAGUCUGUGACGGGUAGCCGGCCUGAGAGGGUGACCGGGCACCAGACGACUGAGGUACGGCGCAGACUCCUACGGGAGGCAACAGUGGGGAGCAUGGCAGAGUGGAGGGAAGCCUGAGACGACAACGCCGCGUGCGGGAUAACGUCCUUUGAGUGGUAAACCGCUGUGUCCUGUGACGAAGCGUGAGUGACGGUAAUGAGUAAAGAAGCACCGGCUAACUACGUG
rnacentral:rRNA from 1 species